rnacentral:tRNA from 1 species
GUGGGCGUAGCUCAGUUGGUAGAGUGCCUGAUUGUGGUUCAGGUUGUCAUGGGUUCAAGCCCCAUCGCUCACCCCA